GUGCGUUGACCGUACGUAUGGUAUAGCAAAGUAUCGACAAGUGUCAUACUUAGCUUUGGUAGGUUCUCGAGUAGGGCAUAUAGGCUCGUCACUGUUUGCCGUGUUCUCGGUGCUUCCGGGGGAUCUACUUUUCAGAUUUUAUUAUAUUCUUUACAACGGUAUGCUCAUAGAACCACUCGAUUAACUGGCCGUCGUUGGAAAUCUGUUUGGAUACCGGACAACUGCCAUUUACAAGGUAUUUAGGGUCUAUUUACCUACGUGAAGGUAUUUUUAUGGAAGCGUUAAUUGACCCCCGAGUUGACGUGAAAAUGACAGACAUGUCAGAAUAGAUUAUCUCGACAUAUCGUGUAAUAUCGUGGCAUCCCGGAUAUUAUUAAGACGUCACGCAAGAACUGAUUCUUGUCUUGUUGACAAAGUUUCUAUCACAGGUCAUAAUUUAUGCUACGCUUACCUAAAUUUACUAUGUGGCACGUCUUUUUGUAGUCGCAGUAAGGCGACAUGCCAUUAUGCAACGUAUCAUGUUACUUAGAUAUAAGUCGACUUGCCAUUUGAUUAACAUGGUUUUGCUUCCUAAAUUUAAACGAGAAAAUCACAAGAUGAAAAUGUCAACUUACACGAACACAAAAGGCAACAUAAAGUAUUUCUUGAAUCCGUGUGUGUUCCAGACAGACGGACGUGUCUACUUCGGUAAGUUUAUACAAUAUUAUAUAAAUUAAAAUAAUAAUUCACGAUUUUUUAAUUGAAUUAAUUUGUAACCAUGAAUAUAUUAAAAUAUAAACAUUAGUUUGUGUUAAGAGUGUACAAUAGGUAUUUGUAAGAAAAGACAGAGGCUUUUCCUUUUGGUCAGACCUUUAGACCCGGGGUUGAAGGGUGCAGUUACCGGAGCACUGGGCACCCUACACGUAUUUGUUCAAGAUAGGCUUCUGUAGUCUUGUUUAUCUGAUUGCAUACUCCUUUUUUUGUUAUUUUUUCAAUAGAAUUUUUAAUUGGAUUGUGCUCAUAACUGUCUGAAUUUAUCAUGAAUUUCUGAAUUCGCUUCACUGUUAAAGUAAAUAACAGUUUCUUACCGAAAUCAGUGAUAAAAUAUGUUAAUCAAUACGUCUUCAAUCCGAGUGAGAAGUCAUAAAGGAAAUAUUUACCCUAAAAGCAAAGAUAUGACAGCAAAAGCCUUUAUUAUAACUAUAGGGUAGCGGCCAUGUCUUUUACAGGUGGCACCAGCUGGUAGGAACUACAUUUUGGACUGUUUUACUACGCUUGCUGUAACCAGCUUUUCCUCCCUUUGCAGACGUUUUCCAUUUGCAUUCAUAACGGGAGAAUGGAGGAGAUGGAACGUCCUUGUGUUGAAUUUAGUAAAGGUUCUUGUGCUGAAUUUAGUAAAACAGAGACCACCUGAGAAAGUGGUGAGAGACUGGCAGUCAGUACUGAACGAGCAUGGUGGAAAGACAACAUAGUCAAAUAGGGGUUUGUCAUAAGCCUAACUUGUGCAUAGCCUGCUUUGAUAGAGAGCCUUUAGGAUAUUUUCAUCUAUGUGACCUUACCGCCUGUAUAUUUUGUACAAUACAUAUUUUUAAAAACAAUGUAGAAAGAAAUACCCUAAAUGUGGGAGUAAAAUUGAAGCUGUCAGAAACAUUUAUAAUUAAAAGUAUUUGAUAAUAUAAUAGCAAUUCUGACAUGAUUACAAUCAAGGUAGAUACUUAAGAGCGGAAAGCAUUUUAAGUUGAAAUGUUUACUUCUUUCGAUGUAGGACACAAUGGAGAAUUGUUAACAUGCUUCUUGAAUAUGGAAUAUUAGAAACCGAUGCGUCUUUGAAAUUUAUUUAUACUGUGAACAGUAUUGGAUAUAAAGGCAACAUCAAUGUUAAGUUAUUGACAUCCUAUUUUUAUAUAACGUUGAACCAGCUAUAAAUAUUCAACCAUGGCUACAUCUUGUAUCUACUAAUUUACAGGACAUACGGCAAUAUCUAUAAUGUUAGGUUUGUUUUUGAAUCAUACUAUAUCAGGUGAACAAGAGUAAAAGUUGAAUAAAAGUCUCCCCGUGCAUG